GACGAACGCUGGCGGCGUGCUUAACACAUGCAAGUCGAACGGAAAGACCCUGCUUUUGUGGGGUGCUCGAGUGGCGAACGGGUGAGUAACACGUGAGUAACCUGCCCUUGACUUUGGGAUAACUUCAGGAAACUGGGGCUAAUACCGGAUAGGAGCUCCUGCUGCAUGGGGGGGGUUGGAAAGUUUCGGCGGUUGGGGAUGGACUCGCGGCUUAUCAGCUUGUUGGUGGGGUAGUGGCUUACCAAGGCAUUGACGGGUAGCCGGCCUGAGAGGGUGACCGGCCACAUUGGGACUGAGAUACGGGCCAGAGUGCUACGGGAGGCAGCAGUGGGGAAUAGUGCACAAUGGGCGGAAGCCUGAUGCAGCAACGCCGCGUGCGGGAUGACGGCCUUCGGGUUGGAAACCGCGUGCGCCUGUGACGAAGCGUGAGUGACGGUAAUGGGUAAAGAAGCACCGGCUAACUACGUG
rnacentral:rRNA from 1 species